rnacentral:rRNA from 1 species
GACGGAGGGUGCAAGCGUUGUCCGGAAUUAUUGGGCGUAAAGAGCUCGUAGGCGGUUUGUCGCGUCUGCUGUGAAAAACGCGAGGCUCAACCUCGCGCCUGCAGUGGGUACGGGCAGACUAGAGUGUGGUAGGGGGAGAUUGGAAUUCCUGGUGUAGCGGUGGAAUCGCAGAUAUCAGGAGGAACACCGAUGGCGAAGGCAG